rnacentral:tRNA from 2 species
UCGUCAGUAGCUCAGUGGUAGAGUGGUCGACUAUUAACUGAUCGCUUGUAGGUUCAAAUCUUACUUGAAGAC